AUCCCUGUAGUGCAAUGGAAUGCUCGCUGGACUUCUAAUCCAAAAGUCAUGGGUUCAAACUCCAACUGGGAUG